rnacentral:rRNA from 1 species
AUUGAACGCUGGCGGCAGGCCUAACACAUGCAAGUCGAGCGGAUGAAGGGAGCUUGCUCCUGGAUUCAGCGGCAGACGGGUGAGUAAUGCCUAGGAAUCUGCCUGGUAGUGGGGGAUAACGUCCGGAAACGGGCGCUAAUACCGCAUACGUCCUGAGGGAGAAAGUGGGGGAUCUUCGGACCUCACGCUAUCAGAUGAGCCUAGGUCGGAUUAGCUAGUUGGUGGGGUAAAGGCCUACCAAGGCGACGAUCCGUAACUGGUCUGAGAGGAUGAUCAGUCACACUGGAACUGAGACACGGUCCAGACUCCUACGGGAGGCAGCAGUGGGGAAUAUUGGACAAUGGGCGAAAGCCUGAUCCAGCCAUGCCGCGUGUGAAGAAGGUCUUCGGAUUGUAAAGCACUUUAAGUUGGGAGGAAGGGCAGUAAGUUAAUACCUUGCUGUUUUGACGUUACCAACAGAAUAAGCACCGGCUAACUUCGUG